UUGGUUUAGUAACCAGUUUUGCUCUCAUUUGGUUGAAAACCAACAAAAUUUAUUCAACUUUUUGUACUACAUUUCACUCUCAAUAAGUCACUUUCCAAAACUUUUUUUCAUUUCUCUCUCCUUCUUAUCUGCUAUCUCUAUGCAACAGAAAUCCUUAUGCCUUUCAAUCUCUCAUCCUUCUCUCUCAUUUCUUCCUCUUCUGCUAUAUUCUCUCUUGUUUCCUCUCUCUUCCUCUUCUUUUUUCUUCUCUCUUCCGUUGCUUGUCUCUUUCGCUUCUUCUUUCUUCUCUUUUCCUUUUCUUGAACCAAGACUAUAGGGUUUUGGGAGGAUUUAUAAAGAUCUAUGAUUCAAAGUUUUUCGAUGGUAGAUCUAUGGUGGCGGCAACAUGUUUCAUGCGGUUUUGAAUGUCGGUAUGGUCCACAAUAAAAGUCUUAGGACAAGCCAGUAUGGUCGACAACAAAUUAUCAUGGAAGAAUAGUUCUAAUGGUUGUGGAUCUGAUGAUAAAUAAGAUAUAAAGUUUUUCUUGAUAGAUUCAUUUCACGACAAGAUUUAAUGGAAUAGAGAACUUAGAUUGAGUAUGUAUUUUUCUCUGGGAUAAUUGACCAGGUAUGUGAUAAUACAAAUUUACCACCGAAAAUUGAUGUGGAGGGUCUGAUUGUUUGUAUAAUACUGAUGUUUUUAUUUGCGCUAAAACAUUGAUACUCAUUGGAUUUGAUUUCUUUUCGCACUUGUUAUGUUGAUGUGGCUGAUAUGUAUCAAUUCUACAUUAUCUACUGGAAUUUGCAUGUUUAACAAGCUCUCUCUCCAUACUACAUAUUCAAAUUUCUGAAAAAGACUUAAUCAGAGGUUGGAUGUAGGGAUUCUAUUGUGUAUAACAAGUCUGAAUUAUGGGAUAUAAUUGUAACCAUAUUUAUUUCACUAAUUCAUUGGUAUUACUACACCUA